UACGGAGGGGGCUAGCGUUGUUCGGAAUUACUGGGCGUAAAGCGUACGUAGGCGGCUUUUGUAAGUUAGAGGUGAAAGCCCGGGGCUCAACUCCGGAAUUGCCUUUAAGACUGCAUCGCUUGAAUCAUGGAGAGGUGAGUGGAAUUCCGAGUGUAGAGGUGAAAAUUCGUAGAUAUUCGGAAGAACACCGGUGGCGAAGGCGGCAUCCUGGACCGGCAUUGACGCUGAGGAGCGAAAGCUAGGGGAGCAAACAGG
rnacentral:rRNA from 1 species